ensembl:ncRNA lncRNA:CR45984 long non-coding RNA:CR45984
AGAUUACAACAGAUAUUUUUCCAUGUGCAUAGCAGGGGCUUAGUUCUGUGGUCGCUGCCUGUCGACGAGCCUUCGAUGCCAAUAAAUUCGGGAUGGGGGCAGGGACCAGGAAAAUGGGCCAAGAGUGCACUGAAGGGGCGCUGGAGAUACUCGUAGACUAGACAGAGGGCAAAAAGCUGCCGGGGCAGAAACGUUUUCGCAACGCUUGAAUUGCCAGCAAAGUGAGGGAGGAAAUCGCUGGGUCUUUGAGGGAAAAUCGGAGGGUUUCAGUUGAACUGCAACAAGCGUCGUUGCAGUUUCCGCAUCGCAGUUCGCUCGCUUUCCACGCAUCUCCCACUCGCUGGAGCUCACUUCGUGGCUCCUAAAAAAAACAGAAACCGAAGGGGAAAACAGAAAUACUCCAUAAGGUAGCCCAACAUGCAUGGGGUCUUGACGUGUCUAUAAAUAUUUAUAAGCCGCGCUGAAAGGACACGAUUAUGCACCAAACCUUGAAUGGCUCUAAGCGAAGCCAAAAUUCGGAUUUACGCGAGUUUUGGGAACGUUUGUUGGGUAGCAAGAUACGUUUGCUGCCCUUAAAUAUGUUUC